GAUGAAGAACGCAGCAAAAUGCGAUAAGUAAUGUGAAUUGCAGAAUUCAGUGAAUCAUCGAAUCUUUGAACGCACAUUGCGCCCGCUGGUAUUCCGGCGGGCAUGCCUGUUCGAGCGUCAUUUCAACCCUCAAGCCCCCGGGUUUGGUGUUGGGGAUCGGCUCUGCCUUACGGCGGUGCCGCCCCCGAAAUACAUUGGCGGUCUCGCUGCAGCCUCCAUUGCGUAGUAGCUAACACCUCGCAACUGGAACGCGGCGCGGCCAUGCCGUAAAACCCCAACUUCUGAAUGUUGACCUCGGAUCAGGUAGGAAUACCCGCUGAACUUAAGCAUAUCAAAAGCGGAGGA
rnacentral:misc_RNA from 1 species